rnacentral:lncRNA from 1 species
UUUGUUUCCUUUUUUUUGGUUUUCUUUUUGCUGAUAUAGUUUCCUUUUUUUUUUCUUUCAUUUUGUUUCCUUUUUCUUUCUUUUUUUUGUUCCUUUUUUGGUUUUUUUUUUCCUUAUAUAGUUUUUCGAGCAAAAUCACUGCGUACGAUUGACUAUACUUUAUUUAUGCUUCCAACUUAAAUAAUAUUUCAAUUAUAUAAAAUGAAUAUCUUUAUGCUAUAAGCAAACAUAUAUUCGCAUAUUUUUUUAUUUUUUAUUUAAAAUUAUUAUAACUAAAGAAAUGAAAAAAUACACUCACACUCUAGCCCCUAGGUGACUCGAACCCCCAACCUAUUAGUUGGAAGAGAAGCGUCUUACCAACAGACUGCGCUUCAUCGUCGCAUAUUUUUUUAUUAUUAUUUUUCAUGACAUAUAAGCUUAACUUAAUUUACAACAAUAAUUAUAUUACAUUUAAUACUUUAUUAUAAUACAUUCGAACAAAGUAUUCCUUAUAUAGUUUUGCGACCGAAUCCAAUCAUAUGAUUCAUAUUUUUUUGGUAUUUUUUUUUUCAAAAAAAUUCACAAAUUAUUUUCAAUACAUUGCAAAAUGUCAUCGUAUAAUACAUUGUUUCUCAUCCAAAUAUAUGUUAAAUAGUUUCGCGAGCGAUUUCCAAUCGUACGAAAAUGUUAUUUUCAAAUUUUAAACAUUUAUAUUGCCC